ACACAUUCCUUCAGGUGCAUCUACGCCUCUCUUGAUUCUCAUGUAACCAUUUUCUCCCCAAGAUUUUCCCCAUGAGUUCUUUAGCAACCAAUACUUAAUCCCCUCUUCACUCGUACCAUAACCAACAACUGUAACAGUAUGAGUCCCAUCCGUCCCACAGUUCUCAUCCUCGAAUAUCCCGCCAAAAUAUUGCCUAAAAGCAUCUCCUGACCCAUCUAUGGCAACGGAAACAGGCUGUUGAGACACCGCUUUUAGCAAUGCUUCCUCGUCAUUUUGAGGAACCGUCUCGUAAGCGCUGAUGGUUGCAGCAAUGGAAUGAGUUGAGUCACAGGUUUGUUGUUUUUCCUGGUAAGGAUAGCUAUCCUCUGUGGUGAUUCCUUGGUUGUUUAUAAUGUAGUUGAAAGCGUUCACCGUAUUCCCUCCGCCACAUCCGUAGCUCUGUGUGUUACAAUCCACGANNN
rnacentral:lncRNA from 1 species